CAGCCGCCGCGGGAAUACGUAGGUGGCAAGCGUUGUCCGGAAUUAUUGGGCGUAAAGGGCUCGCAGGCGGUUUCUUAAGUCUGAUGUGAAAGCCCCCGGCUCAACCGGGGAGGGUCAUUGGAAACUGGGAAACUUGAGUGCAGAAGAGGAGAGUGGAAUUCCACGUGUAGCGGUGAAAUGCGUAGAGAUAUGGAGGAACACCAGUGGCGAAGGCGACUCUCUGGUCUGUAACUGACGCUGAGGAGCGAAAGCGUGGGGAGCGAACAGGAUUAGAUACCCGAGUAGUCCCUGUCUCUUAUAA
rnacentral:rRNA from 1 species